AAAACACAAUGGGACACAAUCAGGCAUGGAUUGGCCUCCCCAGAGCCUAGACUUCAACAUAAUUGAAGCAGUGUGGGAUCAUCUUUACUGAGAAUGGAAUAAAAGGUAACCAACAUCCAAAGAACAGCUUUGAAUAUUCUUCAAGUUGCCUGGAGAGCUAUUGCUGAACAGUACUUAAAGAAAUAACAAGAAAGCUCUUCUAAGAGAGCUCAGUCUAUGUUGAAGAAUAAAGGUGGUCAUGGCUUUCAAGUUUUGUUAGAUUUAUAUAAAGGUCAUCUUUGCCUUAUACUGUAUUUCCAUUUAUGUUUGCACAUCUUUUAAUAAUGUUUCUGGAGAAAUGAAAGGUGGCUCAAGACCUUUGCACAGCACUGUGCUUUGCUGUUAAAUACAUGGUCCAGUGGGCUGCUGCAACAAACAAAGCAAAACAGAGAACCAGGAAAGGAACCUGCACUUUUAUUUAUCUUUUUAUAAAGAUACAAAAUUCUUAAAUUAUGUUGUCUUUCAUUGCAAAUUUACUUCUUACAUGCAAAAAAUUUAAAAAGGUACCUCAAGCAAGAAGUUUUUAAAAUAAGUGUGUAAAGUAAAACAAUCAAAUGAAAAAUAUACUCAGUCCUGAUAAAUAUUAAUCACUUAAAUAAUAUCUAAAAGUAAAACUGUAUCAUUUAUGAAGUAAAGGGUCACAAAAAGGCAAUAGUGUGUACUAGCAUAGCCUGGGUGAAAGACGGGGCACACCCUUGACAUUUUACCAGCCUAUCAAAGCACUAACACGUAUUGACAGACAAACACAUUCACACUGACAUUCACAGCUACGGGCAAUUGGGAGUUUUCACUUCACUUAAGCUGAAGCAAAGCACAGAAAGGAAAUGAAUACAGGCAAGAGAAGCUCAAAAAACUUCACACAGAGAUGUCCCAUUUGGUGAGACUGCGAUAACACUCAGGAACUUUUUGCCGACAGGCAUGUGGCCUUGCCAAAAAGAAAAAAAAAAGAAAAAAAAAACAAGACAAAGAAAUCAGAAAACAAAAACAUGACAAUAACUGCACAUGACAAGGGUUAAAAUCUCACAUUUGAUUAUAAAAUUUUCAGCUGUAACUCUGGGAGUUAUGCCUUAGUGAAGCAUGGACACAAACGAGUACUACUAAGGACUAAGUAAAAAUGCUCACUUCUUAAUCAAAAUGCCAAGCUUCAGCCUCCUCUGAAAGCAUUUUUUAAUAACGUUACCCUAUUUCCCAGUGUUGCCACUGAACAAUCAAAAAUUUCAAGUUGAAUUGAGGUUCAUGCAAACACAUAUUUGAAAAACUGCUAUUUUAACUGAAGAAUGUGAAAGAAUUCUUCCAUUUUUGGUUUUUAUAGCUUCAUGCCAUUGCAUGUCUGUUUCUAAAAAAUGGUCAAUAACAACAAAGUAUGCUGAAUCAGAAAGGAAGCAGCUUGUUUUUUCCCCCUACAAUUAAAUUUUAAUAAAUAAAUUAAAAUAAAACUCACUGAUUAAAAAUACAUGAGCAGUGCUUUGCAAUUGGAGGUCAACCUCUUUGCCUGGAGAGGUAGGUGCACGAGUGAAAGUCAUUGUUAUUUUUCUUUCUCACACAGUGCAGACGUUCUGUUCUUUCUAACGUUCGCUGAGAAUGAUUAUUUUACACCUAAAUGCAGUUGAAAUCAAAGCACAGCCAUUAUCUCUAACUUAUGUGUCUGGUGACUCCGUCGGACGCCAUCUGAAGUUAUAAAAUCAGACCAGCUUUAAUUUAAGGGAUUGAACAAAAAUAUUGCUUUACCUGCUGAGGAAUUAAAGCCAUUUUUAUAUGCAGACACUGACUUUCAGUGGCUCAAAUGUAAUUGGACAAUUGACUCAAAAGCUGCUUCAUGGAGAGCAUGCGGUCAAAGGACCUCUCAAUGUCACUGAAACAAGCCAUUCUAACAAAUCCAUCAGGAAGAUAGCAGGGACAUUUUGAUGGCUCCAUGAUAAAGAAAGACCCCUUUACAACAUCCAAAGGAGAACACUCUGCAGGGGGUAUGCACAUCAUUAUCCAAGCCUGUCAUUAAGCAAUAAGUAAGUCAGAGUCAUUUUGAAUUUUUUAUUAACAACAUGUAAAGCGCGAAAUGGCUACAGGCUCCUGCAUAUAUAAGCUACUGAGACCUUUUUUUGUGGUCAGCCUCUCUAAUCAUCUGAUCUGGGUCUUAUAUUUUAAGGAAAAAGACAACCGCACAUUUGAGGUUUCAACUCCUAAACUUUGGAGUACUGCAUCAGAUUUACAGAAUCAGUGGUUUCUUUUACAAGCUGCUGAAAACUCUUUUUAAUAGCUUGUCUUAUCCUUAAUCAUUAUUCCAUUAUUUUUGGCAUUAUUUUGACAUCUAAUUUCACCUAUGCUUGUGAAAAUAUGUAGGAAUAAAUGGAAGACCAUAUGUUUGAUAUGACACAAUAUGUUUAUCCAAACUGUGAAGCACUUUGUAACUCUGUGCUUUAAACAGUGCCACAAAUAAAAGGUUGUUGUUGGUUUCUUAGUGAUUAAGAAGGUAACUAAUAACCAGGUGCUGCUAAUCAAAAGCAUUUGAUUAACUGAUAAUCAGUAUGUGUGACCACCUCUAUAAAAGCUUUGUGUUAACACAAUACCACAAUUUUCCAAGUUGUGAACAUCCAGCAAAUUACGGUCACUGCCACUUGGAGAAACAGCAAAAAAA